UGUAUAAUGCCUGUCUUAGCUGUGACGCACACACUGGACUCUGAGCACUUGACUAGCGGUUAUCGUUUUAGUCCAUAAUCAUUUGGCCUCAGACUCGUGUCCAGGUUUCCUUCCUGGAGCAGAGGCUCGGGCUGCUGACAGGAAGCCUCAGAGGACCAGCUGUGAGGCCGGGUGAAGGGAGGCAACACUUGUAUAAUCAAACAUUAAAUGGACUUCAACAUUUUCCUACUUACUAAU